rnacentral:tRNA from 1 species
GCGAUGGACUCGAAAUCCAUUGGGGUUUCCCCGCGCAGGUUCAAGUCCUGCUCGCGACG